UGCUGCACACUUUGGCAGCACAUACACCAAAACUGAAAUGAUACAAAGAAGAUUAGUAUGGCUCUUGGGCAAGGAUGACAUGCAAAUCUGUGAAAUGUUCCAUAUUAAA
ensembl:snRNA U6 U6 spliceosomal RNA